GAGCACCAGCAGCAUGCGCCCGUCGCGGCGGAGCCCCCGCUUGGUGAUCAGGAAUAGCGCGAUUGCAAGCAGGGCUGCUUCGUAGAGGUUGAGCGUGAGGAUGAGGGUGAACAGGCGGGUGCGCGUGAUCGACACCCAGGAGAGGGAGUUGGUCAGCGCGAGGCAGCUCGCGAGCAUGCACGCCGCGCUGAGGAGGUAGAAGGGAUUGUGGU
rnacentral:misc_RNA from 1 species